GAUGAAGAACGUAGCGAAAUGCGAUAAGUAGUGUGAAUUGCAGAAUUCAGUGAAUCAUCGAAUCUUUGAACGCACAUUGCGCCCCUUGGUAUUCCAUGGGGCAUGCCUGUUCGAGCGUCAUUUGUACCUUCAAGCUUUGCUUGGUGUUGGGUGUUUGUCUCGCCUUUGCGUGUAGACUCGCCUUAAAAUAAUUGGCAGCCGGCGUAUUGAUUUCGGAGCGCAGUACAUCUCGCGCUUUGCACUCAUAACGACAGCGUCCAAAAGUACAUUUUACACUCUUGACCUAGGAUCAGGUAGGGAUACCCGCUGAACUUAAGCAUAUCAAUAAGCGGAGGA
rnacentral:misc_RNA from 1 species